UACGAAGGGAGCUAGCGUUGUUCGGAAUCACUGGGCGUAAAGCGCACGUAGGCGGAUUUGUCAGUCAGGGGUGAAAUCCCGGGGCUCAACCUCGGAACUGCCUUUGAUACGGCAAGUCUUGAGUUCGAGAGAGGUGGGUGGAAUUCCUAGUGUAGAGGUGAAAUUCGUAGAUAUUAGGAAGAACACCGGUGGCGAAGGCGGCCCACUGGCUCGAUACUGACGCUGAGGUGCGAAAGCGUGGGGAGCAAACAGG
rnacentral:rRNA from 1 species